GAGUUUGAUCCUGGCUCAGAUUGAACGCUGGCGGCAUGCCUUACACAUGCAAGUCGAACGGCAGCGCGGGAGCAAUCCUGGCGGCGAGUGGCGAACGGGUGAGUAAUACAUCGGAACGUGCCCAAUCGUGGGGGAUAACGCAGCGAAAGCUGUGCUAAUACCGCAUACGAUCUACGGAUGAAAGCAGGGGAUCGCAAGACCUUGCGCGAAUGGAGCGGCCAAUGGCAGAUUAGGUAGUUGGUGAGGUAAAGGCUCACCAAGCCUUCGAUCUGUAGCUGGUCUGAGAGGACGACCAGCCACACUGGGACUGAGACACGGCCCAGACUCCUACGGGAGGCAGCAGUGGGGAAUUUUGGACAAUGGGCGCAAGCCUGAUCCAGCCAUGCCGCGUGCGGGAAGAAGGCCUUCGGGUUGUAAACCGCUUUUGUCAGGGAAGAAAAGGUUCUGGUUAAUACCUGGGACUCAUGACGGUACCUGAAGAAUAA
rnacentral:rRNA from 1 species